CCAGUUUUGCUCCAAGGACCAAUCGGGUUGACCCGGUCGUAAGGGAUCGAAAAUGAGUAGAGAAGUCAUCAUGGAAGGAGACAAGAAAAGCUGUAUGAAUAUCUUAGGUGCCCGUACCGCAAACCGACACAGGUAGAUAGGAAGAAGAUUCUAAGGCCAACGGGAGAAGGGUUGUUAAGGAACUCGGCAAGUUGACCCCGUAACUUAGGGAUAAGGGGUGCUCAAGUGAUUGAGCCGCAGAGAAUAGGCCCAGGCGACUGUUUAGCAAAAACACAGGUCUCUGCUAAAUCGAAAGAUGACGUAUAGGGGCUGACACCUGCCCGGUGCCGGAAGGUUAAGAGGAGAUGUGAGAGCAUUGAAUUGAAGCCCCGGUAAACGGCGGCCGUAACAAUAACGGUCCUAAGGUAGCGAAAUUCCUUGUCAGGUAAGUUCUGACCCGCACGAAAGGUGUAACGAUCUGGGCACUGUCUCAACAACCCGCCCGGCGAAAUUGUAGUACCGGUGAAGAUGCCGGUUACCCGCGACUAGACGGAAAGACCCCAUGGAGCUUUACUGUAGCCUAAUAUUGGAUUUCGGUAUGUCACGUACAGGAUAGGUGGGAGACUGGGAAGCACAGGCGUCAGCUUGUGUGGAGUCGACCUUGGGAUACCACUCUUGGAGUGCUGGAAUUCUAACCUGCGGCUUUGAAGCAAGUCGGGGGACAUUGUUAGGUGGGCAGUUUGACUGGGGCGGUCGCCUCCUAAAGAGUAACGGAGGCGCUCAAAGGUUCGCUCUGCAUGGAUGGAAACCAUGCGUCAGAGUGUAAACGCAAAAGCGAGCCUAACUGCGAGAAUGACGGUUCGAGCAGUAACGAAAGUUGGAGUUAGUGAUCCGGCGGUAUGUGAAUGGAAAUGCCGUCGCUCAACGGAUAAAAGCUACCCUGGGGAUAACAGGCUGAUCUCCCCCAAGAGUCCACAUCGACGGGGAGGUUUGGCACCUCGAUGUCGGCUCAUCGCAUCCUGGGGCUGAAUUCGGUCCCAAGGGUUUGGCUGUUCGCCAAUUAAAGCGGUACGCGAGCUGGGUUCAGAACGUCGUGAGACAGUUCGGUCCCUAUCUGUCGUGGGCGUAGGAUAUUUGCAAGGAGCUGUCCCUAGUACGAGAGGACCGGGAUGGACGCACCUCUGGUGCACCAGUUGUCACGCCAGUGGCACAGCUGGGCAGCUAUGUGCGGAACGGAUAAACGCUGAAGGCAUCUAAGCGUGAAGCCGCCCUUAAGAUAAGAUAUCCCUUCUGUUUACAGAGUAAGACCCCUUGAAGACUACAAGGUUGAUAGGCUCAAAGUGUAAGCACGGUGACGUGUUUAGCUAGCGAGUACUAAUCGGUCGAGGGCUUAACC
rnacentral:rRNA from 1 species